rnacentral:lncRNA from 1 species
GGGCCAAAGAGUGCCCUAAAAAGAGACAGCCAUGCCAGCCAGCCAUUCUGACUCUGGAGGAUGACUAAGAAAGUCGGGGCUCAGAUCCCCUCCCUGAGCUCAGGGUAACUUUUGAAGUGGAGGGAACCCCAGUAAACUUUGAAGUGGAUACAGGGGCAGUAUACUCAGCCCUUAAGGCCCCAUUGGGCCCUCUAUCAAAUAAAAGGUCUCUAUUUCAAGGGGCUAACGGCAGUAAAUAUCGGGCUUGGACAACUAAGAGGACCAUAGACCUGGGGAAAGGAAAAAUCCAUCACUCCUUCCUAGUGAUCCCAGAAUGCCCAAUCCCAUUGAUAGGCAAAGAUCUGCUCACCAAGCUCCGGGCCAAAAUAACUUUUAACCCUAAAGGCCCCCAAAUGAAAUUUCUAAAUCCUUCAGUAUCCUCUGAGCAAAGAAGCUAAAGAUGGGAUAAGGCCCCAUAUUCAGAAAUAUCUGGCCUUAGGGGUCCUAAGGCCCUGUCAAUUGGCCUGGAACACUCCCCUGCUACCAGUAAAAAAAAGCCAGGAACCGGGGACUAUCGCCCCAUACAAGACCUAAGAGAGAUCAACAACAGAGUGCAGGACAUUCACCCCAUGGUACCUAAUCCAUACAAUCUGCUUAGCACUCUGAACCCUGAACGAAAAUGGUAUACUAUUCUGGACUUAAAAGAUGCUUUCUUUUGCUUGCCUCUGCAUAAAGAUAGUCAGUUGCUGUUUGCUUUCAAG